rnacentral:rRNA from 1 species
UCCUAGCCGUAAACGAUGGAUACUAGGUGUGGGUGUCGCAGGGCAUCCGUGCCGCAGUUAACGCGUUAAGUAUCCCGCCUGGGGACUACGGUCGCAAGACUGAGACUCAAAGGAAUUGACGGGGGCCCGCACAAGCGGUGGAGCACGUGGUUUAAUUCGAUGCAAACCGAAGAACCUUACCUGGGUUUGACAUGCAGGUGUUAGUGAAGUGAAAGCGGAACGACCUUGCAGCAAUGUAAGGAGCCUGCACAGGUGCUGCAUGGCUGUCGUCAGCUCGUGUCGUGAGAUGUUGGGUUAAGUCCCGCAACGAGCGCAACCCU